AGUUAAAGGACACACUGUUUAAAGAAUAAAAAAUGAUGACUGCAACUACAUUGUCAGAAAUAUUAAGGAAAGCCCUGCAGGAGAAACCAAACAAGCGGAAUGUAAACAUUCCCUCUCAGCCAGACUGGUUGUUUAAGAGACCUUGCCUGACCCUGGACUUCAUUGUGGGAGUAGAUUAACCCUCAGAUCAGAAUAUUGUUCCACUAAGCAGCAUGAGUGUACCAGCUCAGGAGCAUGCCAUUCUGGAUGACAUGUUGAACUGU